UACGAAGGGUGCAAGCGUUACUCGGAAUUACUGGGCGUAAAGCGUGCGUAGGCGGUUUGUUAAGUCUGUCGUGAAAGCCCCGGGCUCAACCUGGGAAUGGCGAUGGAAACUGGCGAGCUAGAGUACGGUAGAGGAGAGUGGAAUUCCCGGUGUAGCAGUGAAAUGCGUAGAGAUCGGGAGGAACAUCAGUUGCGAAGGCGACUACCUGGCCUGUUCUUGACGCUGAGGCGCGAAAGCUAGGGGAGCAAACGGG
rnacentral:rRNA from 1 species